AUUGAACGCUGGCGGCAGGCCUAACACAUGCAAGUCGAGCGAUUGGCGGACGGGUGAGUAAUGUAUGGGGAACUGCCUGAUGGAGGGGGAUCACUACUGGAAACGGUAGCUAAUACCGCAUACCAUCAGAUGAACCCAUAUGGGAUUAGCUUGUAGGUGAGGUAACGGCUCACCUAGGCGACGAGCCCUAGCUGGUCUGAGAGGAUGACCAGCCACACUGGGACUGAGACACGGCCCAGAUUCCUACGGGAGGCAGCAGUGGGGAAGAUUGCACAAUGGGCGCAAGCCUGAUGCAGCCAUGCCGCGUGUAUGAAGAAGGCCUUCGGGUUGUAAAGUACUUUCAGUCGGGAGGCGUUACCGACAGAAGAAGCACCGGCUAACUCCGUGCCAGCAGCCGCGGUAAUAC
rnacentral:rRNA from 1 species